UGUUGGCUGCCAUGGCCAGCUGCGUCGAGGGAGGUGAUUGGUAGAUGGAUGGGGUCGUUAUCAUUCUUAUCAAUAAUGGUUGUGGGAGGUGGUUGGGGAACGCCCGCCCCAUCGGCAGCCACACGCCACUUCAACUGCCACUGCUCGGCCAGCGUCCCGGCAAAUGUGCCCGCCGCCAGGGCCGUUGGAGCGAAAAAUGCACGCAAACCACACCAGCGUCAUGGAGGCCGUUG
rnacentral:miRNA from 1 species